GAUGAACGCUGGCGGCGCGCCUAACACAUGCAAGUCGAACGGUUAAAGCACCUUUUAGGUGUGUAUAAAGUGGCGAACGGCUGAGUAACACGUGGGCAACCUGCCCUCCUCUUGGGGAUAGCCUCGGGAAACCGAGGAUAUUACCCGAUACUUCAAUGUGGCCGCAUGACGACAUUGAGAAAGCUUUUGCGGAGAAGGAUGGGCCCGCGGCCUGUUAGCUUGUUGGUGGGGUAGAGGCCUACCUAAGGCAAUGAUGGGUAGCUGGGUUGAGAGACCGACCAGCCAGAUUGGGACUGAGACACGGCCCAGACUCCUACGGGAGGCAGCAGUGGGGAAUCUUGCACAAUGGGCGAAAGCCUGAUGCAGCGACG
rnacentral:rRNA from 2 species